rnacentral:rRNA from 1 species
AGAGUUUGAUCCUGGCUCAGGACGAACGCUGGCGGCGUGCUUAACACAUGCAAGUUGAGCGAUGAAACUUCUUCGGAAGUGGAUUAGCGGCGGACGGGUGAGUAACACGUGGGUAACCUGCCUUGUAGAGAGGAAUAGCCAUUCGAAAGGAUGAUUAAUACCUCAUAAUAUUGUAGCUUCGCAUGGAGCAACAAUCAAAGGAGCAAUCCGCUACAAGAUGGACCCGCGGCGCAUUAGCUAGUUGGUGAGGUAACGGCUCACCAAGGCGACGAUGCGUAGCCGACCUGAGAGGGUGAUCGGCCACAUUGGGACUGAGACACGGCCCAAACUCCUACGGGAGGCAGCAGUGGGGAAUAUUGCACAAUGGGCGCAAGCCUGAUGCAGCAACGCCGCGUGAGUGAUGACGGUCUUCGGAUUGUAAAGCUCUGUCUUUAGGGACGAUAAUGACGGUACCUAAGGAGGAAGCCACGGCUAACUACGUGCCAGCAGCCGCGGUAAUACGUAGGUGGCAAGCGUUGUCCGGAUUUACUGGGCGUAAAGGGAGCGUAGGCGGAUUUUUAAGUGGGAUGUGAAAUACCCGGGCUCAACCUGGGUGCUGCAUUCCAAACUGGAAAUCUAGAGUGCAGGAGGGGAAAGUGGAAUUCCAUGUGUAGCGGUGAAAUGCGUAGAUAUAUGGAGGAACACCAGUGGCGAAGGCGACUUUCUGGACGAAAACUGACGCUGAGGCGCGAAAGCCAGGGGAGCGAACAGGAUUAGAUACCCUGGUAGUCCAUGCCGUAAACGAUGAAUGCUAGGUGUUGGAGGGUUUCCGCCCUUCAGUGCCGCAGCUAACGCAUUAAGCAUUCCGCCUGAGUAGUACGUUCGCAAGAAUGAAACUCAAAGGAAUUGACGGGGGCCCGCACAAGCGGUGGAGCAUGUGGUUUAAUUCGAAGCAACGCGAAGAACCUUACCAGGUCUUGACAUCCUUUGACAACUCUAGAGAUAGAGCCUUCCCCUUCGGGGGACAAAGUGACAGGUGGUGCAUGGUUGUCGUCAGCUCGUGUUGUGAGAUGUUGGGUUAAGUCCCGCAACGAGCGCAACCCUUACCUUCAGUUACCAGCACGUCAAGGUGGGCACUCUGAAGGAACUGCCUACGCAAGUAGAGAGGAAGGUGGGGAUGACGUCAAAUCAGCACGGCCCUUAUGUUCGGGGCUACACACGUGCUACAAUGGUAUGUACAGAGGGCAGCCACCCUGUGAGGGGGAGCCAAUCCUCAAAGCAUAUCUCAGUUCGGAUUGGAGUCUGUAACUCGACUCUAUGAAGUUGGAUUCGCUAGUAAUCGCGCAUCAGCCAUGGCGCGGUGAAUACGUUCCCGGGCCUUGUACUCACCGCCCGUCA